AGAUGUACGCAGUCCAUACCACUACGUCAGGAGAAGUAGAAAGGUUGUUUCCGAUAGACCCCAGGCUUAAGACAAGGAAUAAUAAGCAAAUACUUAAUAAAACAUGGAACAAGAUGUCAAGACAUAAAUAAGCCACCCACAAGGAAUAAUAAACAAAGAAUAGCAAACAAAUUCAUAAUAAAGCAUUCAACAAAGUGUCCUAGCAAGAAUAAUACAUCUACCAAGUAAUGCCCUACCCCAACAACUCAAACUGGCACUAGCCUUCUAUCCUAAUCCGC
rnacentral:lncRNA from 1 species